CAAGCGGUCACUCCUUUCCCGUUUUACUGUUAGGGGAAGGAAGCCACAGCCCAGUGGGGAAGUGACAUCCCUGGCCCUUGCCGUUCACCACUUCAAGUCUUGCCCAGCUGUCAGGGCAGGAAUUCAUGUCCCCACGGUGGCAUCUGCUUCCCAGGCUGUGGGGCCAGCAAGGGGCUCAGCUGCUCCCCAGCCCUGCCUUCCUCCAUGGAUCUGACAUGACUCUUUUAUGGGAAUUUACGUAAAAGUAACGCCUUGCUCAGUGUGGAAAAUUUAGGAGCUUCAGGAAAAUAUAAAGAAAAUUAAGGAAGUCAUCUCGCUUCUCAAAUACCGUGUUAAUUUGGCUUCUCCAGCUUUCUGGCAAUACCAAGGGGCAGACCCGGGAAUGGGUUGUUCAGUCACUGCUGUACCGCCCAUGAGCGGCAGAGGGCAGCAAAACACACUCAUCGGACGGGCAUCAAGGGAGCCUGAGGAUAACCAGAGCUUGAAAAUGCAAUCAACCCAUGAAAAUGUUUUUAAAGACCAUG
rnacentral:lncRNA from 1 species